GAUGAACGCUGGCGGCGUGCCUAAUACAUGCAAGUCGAGCGAAUAGACGAAGCUCUUUCUUCUCUUCCGCUACCGGCGGACGGGUAAUUCACACGAGUCUACCUGAUCUAUAAGACUAACAUCACUUCGGGAAACCUGAUCUAGCACCCGUUCUGAUAUUGAAACUCAUGGUUCAUCAGUCCAAGACGGAUUUGCUGUCACUUGUAGGUAUUUCCGGGCCGCAUUAGCUAGUUGGUAGGGUAACGGCUUACCAAGGCGACGAUGCGUAGCUGACCUGAGAGGAUGAUCGGCCACACUGGAACUGAGACACGGUCCAGACUCCUACGGGAGGCAGCAGUAGGGAAUCUUGGACAAUGGGCGAAAGCUUGACGGAGCCACGCCGCGUGAGUGAAGAAGGUCUUCGGAUCGUAAAGCACUGUUAGUUGGGAAGAACGACAGUGUGAGUAAAUAUUGCUGUCUUGACGGUACCAAAACAGAAAGCAACGGCUAACUACGUG
rnacentral:rRNA from 1 species